GUUUAUAUGUUUGCCAAAUAACGAAUAAAAAUAGAACGCGAGAGCAACAGUAAUUCAACGAGCGAUAGGAAUGUACGAAAAAAGGAUUGUAGAUGCGUUCACUUUCGUUAUCGUUUCUUUCAUCCCGGCGCACCCUUAAUGUUUGCUAUUGAUCGAUGCCGCGUCCAAACUGUCAGAAUCAGAUCCCCUUCUGGUAUUUUUAAGGAUAUAGAAGAUAAAGUCAUAUAAAAAAACAUUGUACCUCUCUUAUUAUACUGAACGCAACCGUUAAUUCCUUGUAUUUAAAAAAGAGAGAAAUACUCAUAGACCAAGAAUCGUGCGAGUUUAAAUAAAUAAAGAAGAAAGAUAAGUAAAAUAAACGUCAUAUACUUAGAAUAAUAAAUUAAAGCUUUAUGCAGAAAAGUACCUAAAAUAAAUAUUUAUUAAAUAAAUAUGUCGUAUCGAAUUUAUAUACACGAAUUAAUUUUCAUAAUUUAAUAAUAAACCUCAUGGUCCAUUCAAAAUAUACCGAUACUGUUUUCGUGAAUUCGAAUCACGAAUACACCCGAAUUAGCGUGGCUACGGGCGAGCAUGUGUGAAAUUUAGUCAUCAGUUAUUUUUAAAUGAAUGUGUGUCAAAGAAAGAAUUGUACGAUAAUGAUACCGGAUAAUUGUUGGGAUCUCCUAUCAACUUAUUCAUAAUAUAUUUAUCUUAUUCCUAUCUAUUCCGGAUAGUACAUUUAAUAAUGACACAUGGAAUUAUAUUAUUGAAAUGUAUAUUGUUAAAAUUGUACUGCACUGAUUCACGACUCACAACCGGCAAUAAUAGGCGGAAUGUAUACAAAUCUCACACUGACCUUAAUAAGGUAGGUGGUCGCGCCUUGAUCGCCUGCGAAUGACUGAGGUGCGGAUCUACGUUUCCAACCAUAGCACGAGUGACGUCAUGAAUGAUAUCAUACUUGGAUCCGUCUUCCUAACUAGAGAAUGAACGUGUAGUAUACACGUAUACCAACAUUAAAUUGAAAAAAAGUAACGAAGUUUGUGUACAUAAUAAGAUGCGUAGUCAAAGUUAUGUGGAAUACUACAUAGCAAAAUAUAAACAUAUGGAUGAAAUACAAACCUCAAGUUUAAGCAUUAAAAUUUAGUUUUGGUAACUUAGUUAUGAUUUCGUAUUCUUGCAAUUUUUUAGGAGUUUCCGGCGAAUGAAAUUUCAAGGUUCUCGAUAAAAUUUUCAAUUAAUUUUCUGACUUUAUAGUCAGACAUAAUUCCACGAGCGCAAUAUUCACGCACCGUGUUCUGAUUUACACUUAUUUAUAGCGCGUCGUGAGUUAAGUAUUAGCGGUCAAAGCAAAAUAUUUUUCAUUGCUAUUUAGCUUGAAUAAUAACCAAAAUCGAUAAUAUGAUAUAAAAUAAAACAAACAGUAAAGUAACGAGUGUAAAAACAGCAUAUGACAGCAUUUAAUCGUCGAACCAGACUCGAUAACAAUCCUUUAAUUUCCACUCUGAUAAUUGGUUGACGUUAGUAGAUUUUGAAUCGUUCAUUAAAUAGAGGAAAACAAUCUUUUUGCAAGGCUUGUAUAUAAUUUCUUAACUGCCUUUUGUUAAUUCCCACUGAUGUUAUUCUUGUUGAAAACGAAAAGUUAUACAUAUUCCAAAAUUUCUUUAUUUUGCUCAUCUGACUCACUGAACUAAAAGGAAGCAUUAUCCGAACGCUGUACAAGUGGAAUUCAAAGACAAUGUCAAAAACGAACAUAUAUUUCAAUGGUAAUGUGUACAGAAAAAGUACAAUGUAUCCAGGAACACACUCAUUCACGUAGUAGCGGACAGCUCUUACAUCAAUGAAAGUGAAUUACAUAAGUGACCUUUAUGUGAUUGACAGAAAAUAAAAAAAACAAAAGAAAGAGAAAACGAUGUAUAACGUUCAAUUUGUGCAAAUAUAUUAACUAUAUAAAACAGAUAUUUAUAUAUAUAUAUAUAUAUAUAUAAACGUAUAUAACUAAUGCGUGUAUACAUAUAAAUAAAAAGUCGCGGUAGUGCGAGAAAGGUACAGUUAGAAAAUUAAAUUGGACGGGAAGUGCCGCGUAAGGUACAUCGAUGACCAAACUAUAUAAUCCAUUGCAUAUUAU